rnacentral:rRNA from 1 species
UACGUAGGUGGCAAGCGUUAUCCGGAAUUAUUGGGCGUAAAGCGCGCGCAGGCGGUUUCUUAAGUCUGAUGUGAAAGCCCACGGCUCAACCGUGGAGGGUCAUUGGAAACUGGGGAACUUGAGUGCAGAAGAGAAAAGCGGAAUUCCACGUGUAGCGGUGAAAUGCGUAGAGAUGUGGAGGAACACCAGUGGCGAAGGCGGCUUUUGGCUGUAACUGACGCUGAGGCGCGAAAGCGUGGGGAGCAAA